rnacentral:rRNA from 1 species
GACGAACGCUGGCGGCGUGCUUAACACAUGCAAGUCGAACGGAAAGGCCCUGCUUGCAGGGUGCUCGAGUGGCGAACGGGUGAGUAACACGUGGGUGAUCUGCCCCUUACUUUGGGAUAAGCCUGGGAAACUGGGUCUAAUACUGGAUAGGACCAUGCUGUAGGUGGUGUGGUGGAAAGAUUAGUUUCGGUAAGGGACGAGCUCGCGGCCUAUCAGCUUGUUGGUGGGGUAAUGGCCUACCAAGGCGUCGACGGGUAGCCGGCCUGAGAGGGUGGACGGCCACAUUGGGACUGAGAUACGGCCCAGACUCCUACGGGAGGCAGCAGUGGGGAAUAUUGCACAAUGGGCGCAAGCCUGAUGCAGCGACGCCGCGUGGGGGAUGACGGCCUUCGGGUUGUAAACUCCUUUCAGCCAUGACGAAGCCCUUGUGGUGACGGUAGUGGGAGAAGAAGCACCGGCUAACUACGUG